rnacentral:rRNA from 1 species
UGGGGAAUAUUGGACAAUGGGCGCAAGCCUGAUCCAGCCAUGCCGCGUGAGUGAUGAAGGCCCUAGGGUUGUAAAGCUCUUUCACCGGUGAAGAUAAUGACGGUAACCGGAGAAGAAGCCCCGGCUAACUUCGUGCCAGCAGCCGCGGUAAUACGAAGGGGGCUAGCGUUGUUCGGAUUUACUGGGCGUAAAGCGCACGUAGGCGGACUAUUAAGUCAGGGGUGAAAUCCCGGGGCUCAACCCCGGAACUGCCUUUGAUACUGGUAGUCUUGAGUUCGAGAGAGGUGAGUGGAAUUCCGAGUGUAGAGGUGAAAUUCGUAGAUAUUCGGAGGAACACCAGUGGCGAAGGCGGCUCACUGGCUCGAUACUGUCGCUGAGGUGCGAAAGCGUGGGGAGCAAACAGG